UGCAGUCGACGGCAGCACGGGGGCAACCCUGGUGGCGAGUGGCGAACGGGUGAGUAAUACAUCGGAACGUGUCCUGUAGUGGGGGAUAGCCCGGCGAAAGCCGGAUUAAUACCGCAUACGAUCUGUGGAUGAAAGCGGGGGAUCUUCGGACCUCGCGCUACAGGGGCGGCCGAUGGCAGAUUAGCUAGUUGGUGGGGUAAAGGCCUACCAAGGCGACGAUCUGUAGCUGGUCUGAGAGGACGACCAGCCACACUGGGACUGAGACACGGCCCAGACUCCUACGGGAGGCAGCAGUGGGGAAUUUUGGACAAUGGGGGCAACCCUGAUCCAGCAAUGCCGCGUGUGUGAAGAAGGCCUUCGGGUUGUAAAGCACUUUUGUCCGGAAAGAAAACCGCUUCUCUAAUACAGAGGUGGGAUGACGGUACCGGAAGAAUAAGCACCGGCUAACUACGUGCCAGCAGCCGCGGUAAUACGUAGGGUGCGAGCGUUAAUCGGAAUUACUGGGCGUAAAGCGUGCGCAGGCGGUUCGCUAAGACCGAUGUGAAAUCCCCGGGCUUAACCUGGGAACUGCAUUGGUGACUGGCGGCUAGAGUAUGGCAGAGGGGUAGAAUUCCACGUGUACAUGAAUGCGU
rnacentral:rRNA from 1 species